rnacentral:lncRNA from 1 species
AUAGACCAGCCGGUGCUGAUGGGGUCCGGGACUUGACGAUGGCGCCUGCUCGUUCCUGUUGUGUUCUAUCUGAGGCAUGAUUUUCUUUCGUUUUUGGGAGGUAGAGAGCACGGGGCAGAGGUUGCACCUGACACAUUAGAACUCCGUUGUCACUGCUGUGGCUGUUAUUCCCCUCGGCAAGAGCCAAGGAGCAAACAGGACGUGAAGAUCCCGGUGUUACACAUCCAAUCGUUCACCUCCUUCCAAGACUAUGACAUUCCAGGAAACCUUCACUGCUAAGAGGAACUAAGAUCUAGAGUAUCUCCUCGAGGAAGUACAACUGCAUUAUAAAUUAAGGAGGAAUAGUAACAAAGAGCUUGAAGACAUGCACAGCUCACAGGCCCCGGGUGGAGGCUGGCGACAUCAGACAGACAGAACCAAGACAUCUGAGGGGCAACCAGGAGGUGCGUGUGGCUGCAGAGCACACAG